UACGAAGGGGGCGAGCGUUGUUCGGAUUUACUGGGCGUAAAGGGCGCGCAGGCGGCUCAUUUUGUCAGGCGUGAAAGCCCCGGGCUUAACCUGGGAACUGCGUUUGAUACGGAUGGGCUAGAGUUCGGGAGAGGAGAGUGGAAUUCCCAGUGUAGAGGUGAAAUUCGUAGAUAUUGGGAAGAACACCGGUGGCGAAGGCGGCUCUCUGGACCGAGACUGACGCUGAGGCGCGAAAGCGUGGGGAGCAAACAGA
rnacentral:rRNA from 1 species